GGACGUUUGUGUCGCACGUUGAAUACACCAGUUCCCAUGCGAUCACUGAAGUUAAGUGACGUUGAGCCUGCGUGAUGCCCAAGUCGAGGCGACCU
rnacentral:rRNA from 1 species